GAGUCAGCCCUGCUCAGUGGUGCCUGAAAUAGGUUGCCUGUGAGGUGUUCACUUUCUAUACGAUGAAUAUUAUACAGUCAACCUCUUUCCGGUGUCGACUCCCGCCUCCGAAGAAG
rnacentral:pre_miRNA from 12 species